rnacentral:sRNA from 1 species
GCCGGGCGCCGUGGCUUGUGCCUGUGAUCCCCGCUGCUGGGGAGGCUGAGGCCGGCGGAUCGCUUGAGCUCAGGAGUUCUGGGCUGCAGGGGGCUGUGCCGAGCGGGUGUCCACACUAAGUUCGGCAUCGAUAUGGUGAUCCCUGGGGAGCUUCGGGUCACCAGGUUGCCUAAGGAG